GGCCGGUCACACCGCUUGAUUGCUGGCACAGCCUGGCUACUAAUCCACUCGCACGUCACGUGACCGCUCAGCCUUGCCUUAUCCUUUCCCCACCGCUGUUUGAGCACUAUUUCCUCUCCUUCUUCCACAAGACUGCUUCUCUUUCUCCUCCUCUUCCAUCUCCCUCGCCAGCGUGACUCCUCCAUGCGAGCAGCUCCCCGAAGCGGUGCUCAUGCAGCUCCUGCUCCCAACAGCUGCGGCGCUCGUCCCUCUCCCACGGACACCACAGGUAGUUUGGUGGAGCGGUGCUGCAACUGGUGGCGGCGGCGGCCAUGGGUGAGGCCAUGGACGAGUAGACUGAUGGAAGACGAUGCCUCAGUGCUACAACCUGUCAGUUUUUUUUGCUGGACCAGUUAGCAAAAAAGCUGCAACCAGUUGCUGCCGCAGCACCACCACGGAAUCCACUCAGUCCAUCCAUCUAGCUCCAUUCUGACGAAGCGAAACCUCCACCCCCGGGGAAGCUUCAACCAGCUGAGCCAGAAGCUGCAACCGUCGUCGAAAUUAGCUACUAUUGGCAAGGAAUUUUCUACAUACAUCACGACAGAGAUGCGACCUACUACGGCAGCGGCUUUUUUUUGUUGCAACUGUCCUCAAAAAUUGGUACUACCAGUGAUGGAUUUUGCUACAUCCAUCAUGGCGGAGCUGAGACCGGCGACGGCAUCGAGAUGAAUUGUUGCAACCGUCUUUGGAUUUUUCUACUACCGGCGAGGGUUUUUGAUACAUCCAUCAUGGCGGAGAUGAGACCGGCGACGGCGGCGAGAUGAUUUUGCUGCGACCGCAGUUGAUUUUUGCUACUACCGCGUGUUUUGAUGGCGAGGGGCGGCGAUGACGCUAAGAGAGCUACAACCGACGCAUGACGAGAUGGAACUGAAGGCAGCAAAUGCUACAACCACCCCCAAGAUUUUCCUGGAACCAUGGCUGUGGGUGCUACGUAUUCGGGGAGGGAAACGACACAAUGUGACCGGUGCGGCGGUGACGAUGAUAAAGGCGAGGGGGACUAACCGGCGGCAGGGGAUGAGAUAUGGAGGUGCGGGGUCGCGCAAGAGAUGCGUGCGGGGGAGUGGGUUAAGCAGGAAGAGGUGGAGGGAGUUCGCGGGCGUGAGGAAGAUGACGACCGAGCCCACGAUCCGUUUUUCACGCGAGCAUGAUCAAGUGGACCAGAUUCUGCGCGGGCCAGAUCUGACGGACCGCAUGCGACCAUCUGAGUGCUUGGGCCGGCGCACCGGUGCCUAUUACUGGCCUGGUCCCCUAGCAGAACAUUGGAACUGGUCCACCCAAUUGGCAAGCGCGGCUACUCCAAAUCAGGAGGUUCUAGUUGCAGGUGCCGAUGAUACCAGUGCAGGUGACACAACCGAGCUCAAGUGGGAGCCCGAUG